AAACAAGUAGGUUUUGUCCUGGCCUUUCUAUUAACUCUUAGUAAGAUUACACAUGCAAGCAUCCCCGCCCCAGUGGAAAUGCCCUCUAGAUACCCCAGAUUAAAAGGAGCAGAUACCAAGCACACACAAAGGCAACUCAAAACAGUUUGCUCAAUCACACCCCCAUGGGAAAGAGCAGUGAUAAAUCUUUAGUAAUAAACAAAAGGUUAACUAUGGUCUACUGAUGUCGAGGGUUGGUCAAUUUCGUGCCAGCCACCGCAGCCAUACUCAGCCCUAGCUAACCUAAUAGCACUUGGCAUAAGGAGUGUUUAAGGUCCCUAAAUAAAGCUAAACUCUAAGUCAUUAGGAAAACAAACAAACAAACAAACAAAAAAACUCCAGAUGAAAGAAAAUAUACUAUGAAAGUGGCUUUAAUAGCCUAAAGACACAAUAGCUAAGACCCAAACUGGGAUUAGAUACUCCACUCUGCUUAGCCCUAAGCUCUAACAGUUACAUUAACAAAACGAUUCCCCAGAAUACUACAAGAAAUAGCUUAAAACUCGAAGGACUUGGAGGUGCUUUAUAUCUCUCUAAAGGAACCUGUUUUAUAAUCAAUAAACCCCGAUAUACCUCACCACCUCUUGCCCCCAGCCUAUAUACCACCAUCUUCAGCAAACCCUAAAAAGGUUAUGGAGUAAGCACACGUAUUUUCAUAAAAAUGUUAUGUCAAGGUGUAGUUCAUGAGGUGACAAGAAAUGGGCUACAUUUUCUGUAUCCAGAAAAACUUACAACAACCUUUAGGAAAUUUAAAGGUUCAAGGAGGAUUUAGUAGGAAACCAAGAGCAGAGUGCUUAGUUGAAUAAGGCCAUGAAGCGUGGACAGACUGCUCACCAUCAUCCUCAAAUAUUGCUCUAGAAACUAUUAUCACUAAAAACUCUCUGUGCACAUAUAGAGGAGCUAAGUCAGAACAUGGUAAGGAUACUGGAAGCUGCACUUGGACAAAACAAAGU
rnacentral:ncRNA from 1 species